CACGAAGUUAGCCGGUGCUUAUUCUUCCGGUACCGUCAUGACGCUUGGGUAUUAACCGAGCGCUUUUCUUUCCGGACAAAAGAGCUUUACAACCCGAGGGCCUUCUUCACUCACGCGGCAUGGCUGGAUCAGGCUUGCGCCCAUUGUCCAAUAUUCCCCACUGCUGCCUCCCGUAGGAGUCUGGACCGUGUCUCAGUUCCAGUGUGGCUGAUCAUCCUCUCAGACCAGCUACGGAUCGUCGCCUUGGUGGGCCGUUACCCGCCAACAAGCUAAUCCGACGUCGGCUCAUCUAUCUGCGCGAAGCCCGAAGGUCCUCCGCUUUCACCCGUAGGUCGUAUGCGGUAUUAGCGUAAGUUUCCCUACGUUAUCCCCCACAAAUAGGCAGAUUCCGACGUAUUCCUCACCCGUCCGCCACUCGCCACCCAAGGAGCAAGCUCCUCUGUGCUGCCGUUCGACUUGCAUGUGUUAGGCCUGCCGCCAGCGUUCACUCUGAGCCAGGAUCAAA
rnacentral:rRNA from 1 species